ensembl:lncRNA
AUGAAUGAGCAUCAGCUGCUGAAAAAUCUUGAGAACAACUCAUUAGUUACAAGCCCACCAGAAGAGACUGAUGCCACUGUAGAUCCUCAGGCUGCUGCUGAGACAUUAAGAAGAAGUCAGAGAACACGUAAACUCACAGCAAAAGGCCAAGAGCUCCAAGAUAGUAAGUCCAAAAGGCUUCAGCAUCUCUUCACAGUUGCUUAUGACAAGUGGAAAACACAAGCUAAAGAGGUUAAGAAAGCUCUUAACAAGUCUACGUCCAGUGAGCUCCUUAGAGAACUUGUGAGUACGACUUGUAAGGCUUCAACAGAUGUGAAACAGACCUAUGAAGACUUAAGACAAUAUUGUACUCCUGAUGGUGAAACACGCCGCAGAGUAGAUACUUGUGAUGCUAUCUCAAAACAAAUUGAAGAAUAUGCAUCUAAUCUUCUUGAAGAGAAAGACAAAGAACAGGGUGCAAAUAGUGAUCAAGUACACUGGGAUGGAACUAGUUCAGUGCUUUCAUCUGCUAUAUCCUCAAGGUUUAAGUCAAGAUCAAAAGGUUCAAAAUCUGCAAGCAGUUCAUAUGUAAGCACGCGACACUCAAGCUUGUGCUCUGCAAUGAAACAAGACGCUGCAGCUGAGCUAGCUGCUACUCGAGCUACCUUGCAAGCUUUAAAAGAAAUAGAGUGUGAAAAACAAAAGCUUGAAAGUUUAGAGGUAGAAAACAAACAGAGGCUUGCACUACAAGAAGCUGAAAAUAUUGCAAGACAGAAUACACUAGAAGAAAAGCGCAGAGAGAUUUUACGUUUAGAGACAGUUAAGCAGAUGAAUGCUGCUAAAGCCAGACUACAGGUCUAUGAACAAGGAGAUAACUCAGAUGAAGAGAUAUCAGAGUUGCUUUAUAGCACAAGGCUAAAUCAAAGCACACCUGUGCCCAAGAAAGAGAGACCUCCAGUGCAAUGCACAGCAUCACCACUAGUGACACAGGUCCAGUCUGCAAGUAACAGUAAACCUGAUAACAGUGCGAUCUCACUUGCUGAAGCAAUAGCAGAGUCAAUUAAUUCAAGCCGUCUCCCAGCACCAGAGCCAUCUAUCUUUACUGGAGACCCAUUAAGAUACAAAGACUGGAAGAUGUCUUUUCAAACACUGAUUGGCAGGAAGAACAUCCCAGUAAAUGAGAAAGUCUACUACCUCCGCAAAUAUGUUGGUGGAUCAGCAAGGAAAGCCAUUGAGAGUUAUUUCCUGCUUAGUACAGAUGAGGCUUACCAUUCAGCUUGGGAAGUCUUGGAGGAGAGAUAUGGAAGUCCCUUUGUCAUUGCCAAGGCAUUUAGAGACAAGCUCAACUCAUGGCCAAAAAUAGGUCCUAAAGAAAGCAUAGAGCUAAGAGAGUUUUCAGAUUUCUUACGAGCUUGUGAAGCAGCAAUGUCUCAGGUUAAGUGCCUUGAAAUAUUAAAUGAUUGUAGUGAAAACCAGAAAAUGAUAACUAAGCUUCCUGAUUGGCUGGCAGCCAGAUGGAACAGAAAGGUCAUUGAGUUUGAG